GAGCCAGCCCAGCAGCCCCUGCCCAGCCCCCGGAGCGCGGCGGCGGGUGCAGUCGUGCAAGUUUCUUGCGGGUCUCUUGACUUCUCCUAGUUGAAGGCACCGGUUCGGGACGCGAGGUGCUCUUGGAAAGAGUUGGGCAUCGCGCAUCUCUGCUGGCCCGCGGCCCUGUUCAAAUGCGAGCUAGGACGUCGCCUGCCCCAGGCUUUGUCGUUUUGGAAAACUAGGGUUGUAGGAAGGUGCCUGGUGCCAGGCAGACCACCAGAGACUCUCGACCUUGUGUACUAAAGAGUUUUCUGCUCAGCAAAAGCUCAAUGAUGAUCAGCAUCGUAACAGGGACUCUUCCUCCCGCCCCCAGAAGUUCUCUUGUCAUAAACAAGGCGAAGGGGUCUUCGCUGAGCUUCACCAGAGGACCACGAUUUCACCUUAAGCCAUUCCUGACUUCAGUACCAGACUGAGACCAGGCGCUGCUGCUGCCCAAAUGACCCCUGGUCCCAUCUACAAGGAGCACUUUUGAGGCCUCAGAACAGAGCCCCGGGGAGAAAUCUGCGAUGAUCAGGGUAACCUGGGUGCCGCAUCUUGGUGUUCAGCUGCAGCGGAACCGGCCGGACCAGAGCUAAUGCGCGCCCAGAAUGGAGGGAGACCGAGACUGGCCCAAAUGUCAGCGCCCCGGGCCUGGAGAUGACAGCCCGACAGCAGCCAUUUCACAGCUGGGGAAACUGAGUCCUGGGAAAGUUCAAGGUUGCAGCCUUAAGUUGUUACUCAUUCUAGACGUUUCCCCUGAGGGUUUGGUCUUUGGGGAACACGCUACUGUGGAAAUGGAGAGACCACAGGCCUUUUCCCAGGCAUUUCUUUUUACUAUUCUGAAACGCAGUCUCCUGACGUGAAAAAUGAAGAAAAGAACAAAUACCGGCCGGGCGCGGUGGCUUAUGCCUGUAAUACCAGCACUUUGGGAGGCCGAGGCGGGUGGAUCACUUGAGGUUAAGAGUUCGAUACCAGCCUGGCCAACAUGGUGGGUGAAACCCCGUCUCUACUAAAAAUACAAAAAUUAGCCGGGCGCGGUGGUGGGCUCCUGUAAUCGCAGCUACUCGGGAGUCUGAGGCAGGAGACUCGCUUGAACCUGGGAGACGGAGGUUGCAGUGAGCCGAGAUCCAGCCACUGCACUCCAGCCUGGGAGACAGAGUGAGACCUUGUCUCAGAAAAAAAAAGGCCGGACGCGGUGGUUCAUGCCUGUAAUCCCAGCACUUUGGAGGCCGAAGUGGGCAGAUCACGAGGUCAGGAGUUCGAGACCAGCCUGGCCAACAUGGAGAAACCCUGUCUCUACUAAAAAUGCAAAAAUUAGCUGGGCGUGGUGGUGCAGGCCUGUAAUCUCAGCUACGCGGGAGGCUAAGGCAGGAAAAUGCUUGAACCUGGGAGGCAGAGGUGCAAUGAUCAUGCCAUUGCACUCCAGCCUGGGCAACAGAGCAAAACUGAAUCUCAAAAAAACAAAACAAAACAAAAUAAAACAAAACAAAAAAAAAGAGAGAAAGAAAAAGAAAAAAAAAGAGAAAGAGAAAGAAGGACUUCAGAGAAUUGUACCGAGAAUUUUCUGGGAAAAUAUGCAACAGCAGGUCAUAAAACAGAUCUCACAGAGAUAUGUGAGAUCAAUAGAUAUGUGCUUUGGGCCACAUGAAACUUUAAAAAAAAUGUAUCUUAAAAUUUAAAAUAGGAAAAUAUUAUGUCAGAAUUCAAAUAGUGACUGAGGAACAGAUAAAUGUGUCUAUCCACACAAUGGAAUAUUAUUCAGCCAUAAAAGGGAAUGAAUACAUGCUACAACAUGGGUGAACCUUGAAACACGCUAAGUGAAAGAAGCCAGUCACAAAAGGAUAAAUAUGCGAACGGAUCCAGGUGUCCACACUGCAUUUAGUUGUCAUGGUUCCGUCUCUUCUGGUCUGUGAGAGUUUCUCCAUCUUUCCUUGUCUGUCAUGACUUUGACAUUUUUUGAAGAGUGCUGGUCAGGUGUUUGGUACAGAUUUGUAGUAUUUGUGGAAAUCUGCUGGAAUGAGUACCCUUGGCCUACGAGGCAGAGUCGGGGGUGGUGAGCUACACCCUGUGGGACAAAUCUAGGCUGCUGCCUGUGUUUGCAGGUCUCCGAGCUAAGAAUGGGUUUCACAUUUUUAAAUGGUUGAAAAAAAAACAAAAGACAAAUAAUAGUCCAUGAUAUGUGGAAAUUAUCAUGAAAUCCAAAUGUCAGUGUCCAUAGGUGAAGCGGGGCUGGGAGGCAGCCACGGGCAUUCUUUUCUGUGUUGUCCCUGGGGGCUUUUGCACUACAAUGGCAGGAUUGGGAAGUCACUACGGAGGCCCUUUGGCCCCAAGAGCCUCAAUAUUUACUCCCUGGCCCUUGACAGGGGAGGUUUGCCCACCCUGAUGAGGGCCCUAUGAGGACCUGCCAUUGGCCUUCAUUCCAAAGCUAAGUCAGCUAUGAAAAGAGCAUGGAGUGGCUGGGCGCAGUGGCUCACGCCUGUAAUCUCAACACUUUGGGAGGCCGAGGUGGGUGGAUCACCUGAGGUCAGGAGUUUGAGACCAGCCUGGCCAACAUGGUGAAACCACAUCUCUACUAAAAAUACAAACAUUAGCCAGGUGUGGUGCCGCAGGCCUGUAAUCCCAGCCACUUGGGAGGCUGAGGCAGGAGAAUCACUUGAACCUGGGAGGCGGAGGUGGCAAUAAGCCGAGAUUGUGCCACUGCACUGCAGCCUGGGUGACAGAGCGGCAAAAAAAAAAAAAAAAAAAAAGAAAAGAAAA